rnacentral:rRNA from 1 species
GAUGAACGCUGGCGGCGUGCCUAAUACAUGCAAGUCGAGCGAGCGGACGAGAAGCUUGCUUCUCUGAUGUUAGCGGCGGACGGGUGAGUAACACGUGGAUAACCUACCUAUAAGACUGGGAUAACUUCGGGAAACCGUAGCUAAUACCGGAUAAUAUUUUGAACCGCAUGGUUCAAAAGUGAAAGACGGUCUUGCUGUCACUUAUAGAUGGAUCCGCGCUGCAUUAGCUAGUUGGUAAGGUAACGGCUUACCAAGGCAACGAUGCAUAGCCGACCUGAGAGGGUGAUCGGCCACACUGGAACUGAGACACGGUCCAGACUCCUACGGGAGGCAGCAGUAGGGAAUCUUCCGCAAUGGGCGAAAGCCUGACGGAGCAACGCCGCGUGAGUGAUGAAGGUCUUCGGAUCGUAAAACUCUGUUAUUAGGGAAGAACAUAUGUGUAAGUAACUGUGCACAUCUUGACGGUACCUAAGCAGAAAGCCACGGCUAACUACGU